rnacentral:rRNA from 1 species
CAGCGACUUAUAUUCUGUAGCAAGGUUAACCGAAUAGGGGAGCCGAAGGGAAACCGAGUCUUAACUGGGCGUUAAGUUGCAGGGUAUAGACCCGAAACCCGGUGAUCUAGCCAUGGGCAGGUUGAAGGUUGGGUAACACUAACUGGAGGACCGAACCGACUAAUGUUGAAAAAUUAGCGGAUGACUUGUGGCUGGGGGUGAAAGGCCAAUCAAACCGGGAGAUAGCUGGUUCUCCCCGAAAGCUAUUUAGGUAGCGCCUCGUGAAUUCAUCUCCGGGGGUAGAGCACUGUUUCGGCAAGGGGGUCAUCCCGACUUACCAACCCGAUGCAAACUGCGAAUACCGGAGAAUGUUAUCACGGGAGACACACGGCGGGUGCUAACGUCCGUCGUGAAGAGGGAAACAACCCAGACCGCCAGCUAAGGUCCCAAAGUCAUGGUUAAGUGGGAAACGAUGUGGGAAGGCCCAGACAGCCAGGAUGUUGGCUUAGAAGCAGCCAUCAUUUAAAGAAAGCGUAAUAGCUCACUGGUCGAGUCGGCCUGCGCGGAAGAUGUAACGGGGCUAAACCAUGCACCGAAGCUGCGGCAGCGACACUGUGUGUUGUUGGGUAGGGGAGCGUUCUGUAAGCCUGCGAAGGUGUGCUGUGAGGCAUGCUGGAGGUAUCAGAAGUGCGAAUGCUGACAUAAGUAACGAUAAAGCGGGUGAAAAGCCCGCUCGCCGGAAGACCAAGGGUUCCUGUCCAACGUUAAUCGGGGCAGGGUGAGUCGACCCCUAAGGCGAGGCCGAAAGGCGUAGUCGAUGGGAAACAGGUUAAUAUUCCUGUACUUGGUGUUACUGCGAAGGGGGGACGGAGAAGGCUAUGUUGGCCGGGCGACGGUUGUCCCGGUUUAAGCGUGUAGGCUGGUUUUCCAGGCAAAUCCGGAAAAUCAAGGCUGAGGCGUGAUGACGAGGCACUACGGUGCUGAAGCGACAAAUGCCCUGCUUCCAGGAAAAGCCUCUAAGCAUCAGGUAACAUCAAAUCGUACCCCAAACCGACACAGGUGGUCAGGUAGAGAAUACCAAGGCGCUUGAGAGAACUCGGGUGAAGGAACUAGGCAAAAUGGUGCCGUAACUUCGGGAGAAGGCACGCUGAUAUGUAGGUGAAGCGACUUGCUCGUGGAGCUGAAAUCAGUCGAAGAUACCAGCUGGCUGCAACUGUUUAUUAAAAACACAGCACUGUGCAAACACGAAAGUGGACGUAUACGGUGUGACGCCUGCCCGGUGCCGGAAGGUUAAUUGAUGGGGUUAGCGGUAACGCGAAGCUCUUGAUCGAAGCCCCGGUAAACGGCGGCCGUAACUAUAACGGUCCUAAGGUAGCGAAAUUCCUUGUCGGGUAAGUUCCGACCUGCACGAAUGGCGUAAUGAUGGCCAGGCUGUCUCCACCCGAGACUCAGUGAAAUUGAACUCGCUGUGAAGAUGCAGUGUACCCGCGGCAAGACGGAAAGACCCCGUGAACCUUUACUAUAGCUUGACACUGAACAUUGAGCCUUGAUGUGUAGGAUAGGUGGGAGGCUUUGAAGUGUGGACGCCAGUCUGCAUGGAGCCGGCCUUGAAAUACCACCCUUUAAUGUUUGAUGUUCUAACGUAGGCCCCUUAUCGGGGUUGCGGACAGUGUCUGGUGGGUAGUUUGACUGGGGCGGUCUCCUCCUAAAGAGUAACGGAGGAGCACGAAGGUUGGCUAAUCCUGGUCGGACAUCAGGAGGUUAGUGCAAUGGCAUAAGCCAGCUUGACUGCGAGCGUGACGGCGCGAGCAGGUGCGAAAGCAGGUCAUAGUGAUCCGGUGGUUCUGAAUGGAAGGGCCAUCGCUCAACGGAUAAAAGGUACUCCGGGGAUAACAGGCUGAUACCGCCCAAGAGUUCAUAUCGACGGCGGUGUUUGGCACCUCGAUGUCGGCUCAUCACAUCCUGGGGCUGAAGUAGGUCCCAAGGGUAUGGCUGUUCGCCAUUUAAAGUGGUACGCGAGCUGGGUUUAGAACGUCGUGAGACAGUUCGGUCCCUAUCUGCCGUGGGCGCUGGAGAACUGAGGGGGGCUGCUCCUAGUACGAGAGGACCGGAGUGGACGCAUCACUGGUGUUCGGGUUGUCAUGCCAAUGGCACUGCCCGGUAGCUAAAUGCGGAAGAGAUAAGUGCUGAAAGCAUCUAAGCACGAAACUUGCCCCGAGAUGAGUUCUCCCUGACCCUUUAAGGGUCCUGAAGGAACGUUGAAGACGACGACGUUGAUAGGCCGGGUGUGUAAGCGCAGCGAUGCGUUGAGCUAACCGGUACUAAUGAACCGUGAG